rnacentral:rRNA from 1 species
UACAGAGGUCUCAAGCGUUGUUCGGAUUCACUGGGUUUAAAGGGUGCGUAGGUGGGCUGGUAAGUCAGUGGUGAAAUCUCCAGGCUUAACUUGGAAAUUGCCAUUGAUACUAUUAGUCUUGAAUACCGUGGAGGUCAGCGGAAUAUGUCAUGUAGCGGUGAAAUGCUUAGAUAUGAUAUAGAACACCAAUUGCGAAGGCAGCUGGCUACACGAAUAUUGACACUGAUGCACGAAAGCGUGGGGAUCAAACAGG